rnacentral:tRNA from 1 species
UCCAGGGUAGCCUAGUGGACAUAACAUCUACCCGGUAAGCGGAAUACUUUGAGUUCGAUUCCCAUCCCUGGAC